rnacentral:tRNA from 1 species
ACUUUCUUAGUAUAUAAAGUAUAUUUGACUUCCAAUUAAAAGGACUAAAACAUUUAGAGAAAGUA